CGCCGCAGCAUGUGCGGUGCGAGGCGGUAUCAUCGCAGUCGCUACGAGUGUGGUGGGAGCCGCCACCAGCCGAGCAGCGCGGGGGAAUCAUUCUCGGAUACGAAAUAACUUACCGGCUAUCAACGGAGCUUGAUGGAGUUUGGGAGCGGCGUCGCGUGGGAGGCGGUGAAACACAGGUGUCUGGGCUUCGCGCGGGAAAUUACACGCUGCGUCUCGCCGCGCGUACUUCCGCCGGUCUGGGACCACCCGCACACUUCUACUGUGCCACUAUGGAUGAUGUACCUGGUCCACCAGCAGAUAUAAAGGUGUUUCCACACACAGCGGACUCCGUUGUGCUCAGCUGGUUACCUCCAAUACAACGGAAUGGUCUUAUUAGACACUAUCGUGUAUAUACAAGACCACAACGG